UCCCUCAGAGCUCAGUUGGUGAAGAAUCUGCCUGCAAGGCAGGAGACCCAGGUUCAAUUCCUGGGUUGGGAA
rfam:TPA: Bos taurus chromosome 13, whole genome shotgun sequence.